rnacentral:sRNA from 1 species
AAGCGACCAAAACCGGAAACAACUUCCGGACCAAAAAAAGCUUCGAAGCCGACGUCUUUGUCAGAACCUAAAAAAACAGAAUGCUCCAUCUCAGAGGAUGAGUUGUUAUCAGCAAGUUUAGCUGAACGUGUCCAAGCAGAAGUCUCCGAAAAUGAGCAAAUCGAGAAUCUCACUGAAUGGGCGCAAGCCUACAAACAGAAACAAGAAAAAUCAAGUGAAACAAAAAGAAGGUCCCGUAAAACUGCACAUCGUGAAGAAGAGCAGAAGUCAAAAAUACUGACUGUUCCUAUAGGAUCAUUAAGUGAAGAUCAAGCAGUGAAACAAUUGAAAGAAUUGACCAAGGAGAGGCGAAGGGACGAUGCGUUAGUGGCAGAACCCUCAGCAAAGAAAAAAUGGCAACAAAAAGAAGUGGAAUCAAAGAAAAACGAGGGGACAUCUUUUGAAAAGGUCUCAGAUCAAGUGCGACUAAGAACAAUGAUUGAGGAUCUGGUAUUGCAAAACGAAAAUCUUCAACCAGUGGAGUGGAGUGGAUCUGAAAUGGCGUUGAAAAGAGACAACGACCGAUACCAGAGACGAAGCCAACUGAAAACUGCAAAUAAUCGGGAGCUGGCCAAAAAAAUGAUGAGCAUGGAAAGAAAUGAAGUUGAUUUUUUGAGAAAUGCAAGAUAUAGUAAACACGGAAAUUUGAAAGUCUGGAAUCAAUUCAAAUCACUUGUUAAAGCUAAUAAAUUAUUAGAAGAGGAAAUCAUCAACCAAAAGUGUCAAGAACUUCACGAAAUAAAAUUUAAAACCGCGGCAAAGCCCAGCUUGGCAAUUGAAAAGUCAACACCAACAUAUCUUGAAAAUAUGCUAAUUGUGGACGAUCAGGAGAAAGUCAAAAAUAUCGAUAUUUCUUAUCUUUCGAAAGUUAAUCCAUCUCACCAUUAUCAAUGGGGAGAAGCAAAGUGGAAAAAGAUUGAGCCCCUGCUGGCAGAGUUGAAAGAAACAGAAAAUGAAGUGAACUGCUAUUACGAGAAUACAAUGGGGCAUGAUGUUCCCCAAACUUCAUUAAAGACAGUGGAUAAGAUUCUGUGGCAUUUUGAACAUAAGUAUGAUGCUAUAACUUGCACGG